UACGAAGGGGGCUAGCGUUGCUCGGAAUCACUGGGCGUAAAGCGCACGUAGGCGGAUUGCUAAGUCAGGGGUGAAAUCCUGGAGCUCAACUCCAGAACUGCCUUUGAUACUGGCGAUCUUGAGUCCGGGAGAGGUGAGUGGAACUGCGAGUGUAGAGGUGAAAUUCGUAGAUAUUCGCAAAGAACACCAGUGGCGAAGGCGCUCACUGGCCCGUUACUGACGGCUGAGGCACGGAAAGCGUGGG
rnacentral:rRNA from 1 species